AUGGCAGCAGUGAAGACCCUAAAUCCUAAGGCCAAGGUGGCCCAGGCCCAGGCAGCAUUGGCAGUGAACAUCAGUGUGGUUGGGGGCCUGCAGGAUGUUCUGAGGACCAACUUGGGGUCUAAGAGUACCAUGAAGAUGCUUGUAUCUGGUGCUGGAGACAUCAAACUUACUAAACAUGGCCAUGUGCUGCUUCAUGAAAUGCAAAUUCAAUACCCAACAGCCUCUUUGAUAGCAAAAGUGGCUACAUCCCAGGAUGACAUAACUGGAGAUGGCACUACAUCCAAUGUCUUCAUCAUCGGGGAGCUGCUCAAACAGGUGGACCUCUACAUUUCUGAAUGUCUUCAUCCAAGAAUAAUAACUGAAGGUUGUGAAGCUGCAAAAGAAAAGGCACUCCAAUUUUUGGAAGAAGUCAAAGUAAGCAAAGAGAUGGACAGAGAAACACUCAUCAAUGUGGUCAGGACAUCUCUGCUGACAUCUCAUGCCGAACUUGCAGAUGUCUUGAGAGAGGCUGUGGUGGACUCCAUUUUGGCCAUUAGGAAAAAAGAUGAGCUCAUUGACCUCUGCAUGCUUGAGAUCAUGGAGAUGAAACAUAAAUCUGAAACUGAUACAAGCUUAAUCAGAGGGUUUGUUUUGGAUCAUGGGGAGUGGCAUCCUGAUAUGAAGAAAAGAAUAGAAAAUGCCUCUAUCCUCACUUGCAACAUAUCCUUGGAGUAUGAGGAAACAGAAGUGAAUUCUGGUUUGUUUGUUUGUUUGUUUGUUUUACAAGAGUGCAAAAGAGAGAGAAAAACUAGUAAAGCCUGAAAGAAAAUUCAUUGAAGAUAGAGUUUUAAAAAAUCAUAGAACUGAAAAAGAAAGUCUGUGGUGAUUCAGAUAAAGGAUUUGUCAUUAUUAAUCAAAAGGGGAUUGGCCCCUUUUCUUUAGAUGCCCUGGCGAAAGAAGGUAUCAUAGCUCUGCACAGAGCCAAGAGGAGAAACAUGGAAAGGCUGACACUUGCUUGUGGUGGGAUAGCUCUGAAUUCCUUUGGUGACCUAAAUCCUGACUGUUUCAGACAUGCAGGGCUUGUCUAUGAGUAUACACUGGGUGAGGAGGAGUUCACCUUUAUUGAGAAGUUCACGUUUAUUGAGAACAAUCCCUGUUCUGUCACUUUACUGGUUAAAGGACCAAAUAAACACACACUGACUCAAAUCAAAGAUGCAAUAAGAGAUGGCUUGAGGUCUGUCAAAAAUGCUAUUGAUGAUGGCUGUGUUGUCCCAGGUGCAAGUACAGUAGAAGUGGCACUGGCAGAAGCUCUGACUAAAUACAAGACCAGUGUGAAGGGCAGGGCUCAGCUUGGAGUCCAGGCAUUUGCAGAUGCCUUGCUCAUCAUUCACAAGGUUCUUGCGCAGAACUCUGGUUUUGACCUUCAGGAAACUUUAGUUAAAGUUCAAGCUGAACAUUCAGAAUCAGGUCAGCUUGUGGGUGUGGAUCUGAGCACAGGUGAGCCAGUGGUGGCCGCAGAAAUGGGUGUGUGGAAUAACUACUAUGUGAAGAAGCAGUUGCUUCACUCCUGUAUUGUGAUCGCCACCAACAGUCUCCUGGUUGGCGAGAUCAUGAGAGCUGGGAUGUCCUCUCUGAAGGGUUGA